UACGAAGGGGGCUAGCGUUGUUCGGAAUUACUGGGCGUAAAGGGCUCGUAGGCGGCCAACUAAGUCAGACGUGAAAUCCCUCGGCUUAACCGGGGAACUGCGUCUGAUACUGGAUGGCUUGAGUUUGGGAGAGGGACGCGGAAUUCCAGGUGUAGCGGUGAAAUGCGUAGAGAUGUGGAGGAACACCAGUGGCGAAGGCGACUUUCUGGCCUAUAACUGACGCUGAGGCGCGAAAGCGUGGGGAGCAAACAGGG
rnacentral:rRNA from 1 species